UACGAAGGGGGCUAGCGUUGUUCGGAUUUACUGGGCGUAAAGCGCACGUAGGCGGAUUGUUAAGUGAGGGGUGAAAUCCCAGGGCUCAACCCUGGAACUGCCUUUCAUACUGGCAAUCUCGAGUCCGAGAGAGGUGAGUGGAACUGCGAGUGUAGAGGUGAAAUUCGUAGAUAUUCGCAAGAACACCAGUGGCGAAGGCGGCUCACUGGCCCGAUACUGACGCUGAGGCACGAAAGCGUGGGGAGCAAACAGG
rnacentral:rRNA from 1 species